GAUGAAGAACGUAGCGAAAUGCGAUAAGUAAUGUGAAUUGCAGAAUUCAGUGAAUCAUCGAAUCUUUGAACGCACAUUGCGCCCAUUAGCAUUCUAGUGGGCAUGCCUGUUCGAGCGUCAUUUCAACCCUUAAGCCCUGUUGCUUAGCGUUGGGAGCCUACAGUACUGUAGCUCCCCAAAGUUAGUGGCGGAGUCGGUUUCACACUCUAGACGUAGUAAUUUUUUCUCGUCUGUAGUUGAGCCGGUCCCCUGCCGUAAAACACCCAAUUUAUCAAGGUUGACCUCGGAUCAGGUAGGAAUGCCCGCUGAACUUAAGCAUAUCAAUAAGCGGAGGA
rnacentral:misc_RNA from 1 species